AGCUAAAGCAACGUCUUCAUCCUUAGAUUAAUAUUCAUGAGCAGAUUCGUGAUUUGGUGCAGUAAUUCGACAGAAGACGGACUAUGAUGAUAUCAAUGUGUCCACACAUGCAUCUAUCUUCCAAAGGUCAUCAAAAGUUGCAUAACAGGCAGACAACUUAUACUUGAAUGUAUGAAUGGUCCAUUUUAUGGGAAGCUGAUAACACAAAUCAAUCUCAAAUCCAGCUAUGGUGAACAAUAGAAAGAAGCCAGACUGUAGCAAAAUCAAAAUCGACAUAGAUCAAAAAUCCUAUACUGUGUUUGGAUGUCAAUUCUAGCUCACUGAAUACUGCACAGUCCUUCAAA